UGAAACUCGCAUUUCAUUUACGAGUUAAAACGUAUCUAGCUCAGCAACCUAGAUAGUCACCCCUUCGUCUUCAAAAGUCGUGACCUUUGAUUUUAAGGAUUUCAAGAUGUUCGAUUCACGUUAAGAAUCGGUUUGUGGAUCUGCAAUGCUUUAGAUUUAUAGGGUUCUUCGUUUCAGUUCAUCUUCUUCCACUGACAGUGGAGCUCCAGCCAGUGACGAAUAUUGCCAAUCAUGGUGGAA
rnacentral:lncRNA from 1 species